UAAAUUCCUAUGUAUUCCAACUGAGUUUCAAGAAAACUAAACCAGAAAGAAAAGCAUCAAAAAUGUUACUAUUAUUUUGGCUUGUACCUAUAGUAGCUUCGUUUCAAAUAUAAAUGAUAUCUUAGAUUUUUCGCAGAGGGAAUGUUUCGGAUUUCGUGACAGACUGACACAUAUGUGGAGUGAUGUUUCAGAUAAUCUGCAGCUGAAGCUGGAAUCUCUUGUACGCGGCUUCCAGAUCUAUGAAAGUAUCCUUGGCAGAAUCAUAUCUUUUGAGCGUCAAAUCAGAGUCGUCGUACAACCCCCUAGAAGUUCUCUGUACUCUUGUGUACGCUACGGUAUCGUCACUUAAAGUGUCUUUGCUUCGUGCAUCAGAAAUCCCACUUUGGUACAUUUGAAACGAAGAGCCGGAAGACUCUUGCMGGACUGUAUUUUUACUCAUGGUCGUCCCGUUAGGUUUUUAACGGAAUUUCUUUAUUGAGUAAAAGGGAACGGAUCUACGACCCACGAUCAAACCAACCCUGAAAAAACAUUACAAGAUUUUGCAGAGUUUAACCUUGCAGAUAAUUUAUUCGUCAACAUAGUCGCUUUUGGUGAGGAUCAAAUGUAUACCGAGUUAUGUAAAUUGAGUUGCUGUCAAUAAAGAGUUCGCAUGGCUGAUCGUA